AACGAACGCUGGCGGCAUGCCUAACACAUGCAAGUCGAACGAGACCUUCGGGUCUAGUGGCGCACGGGUGCGUAACGCGUGGGAACCUGCCUUUAGGUUCGGGAUAACAGUCGGAAACGACUGCUAAUACCGGAUGAUGUCUUCGGACCAAAGAUUUAUCGCCUUUAGAUGGGCCCGCGUUGGAUUAGCUAGUUGGUGGGGUAAUGGCCUACCAAGGCGACGAUCCAUAGCUGGUCUGAGAGGAUGAUCAGCCACACUGGGACUGAGACACGGCCCAGACUCCUACGGGAGGCAGCAGUGGGGAAUAUUGGACAAUGGGCGAAAGCCUGAUCCAGCAAUGCCGCGUGAGUGAUGAG
rnacentral:rRNA from 1 species